ACUGGCAGCAAUAAAGAAAAAAAAAAAGUAAAUGACAGAGACAUUUGGAAACUACAUGCACUUUUUAUAUCAAGCCAUUUGCAAACCAAUACUCUUUAUUGAACCGAACUUCAAGAAAAGGAAACAUGGUUUGUUUGGGAUUUUUGUUGGUUGGG